rnacentral:tRNA from 1 species
GAGGGUAUAGCUCUGUGGUCAAGCACUUGACUGCAGAUCAAGAGGUCUCCAGCUCAAACCAGGAUGCCCCCU